GCCGGGCGCGGUGGCGCGCGCCUGUAGUCCCAGCUACUCGGGAGGCUGAGGCAGGAGGAUCGCUUGAGCCCAGGAGUUCUGGGCUGUAGUGCGCUAUGCCGAUCGGGUGUCCGCACUAAGUUCGGCAUCAAUAUGGUGACCUCCCGGGAGCGGGGAACCACCAGGUUGCCUAAGGAGGGGUGAACCGGCCCAGGUCAGAAUGGAGGUUCCUCAAAAAAUGAACAGAAAUACCUUACGAUCCAGUAAUUCUACUACUAGAUAUUUACCCAGGGACAACAAAAGCACUAAUUUGAAAAAAAUAGGCAUCCCUGACUGUA
rnacentral:sRNA from 1 species